CCUACGGGUGGCAGCAGUAGGGAAUAUUGCUCAAUGGGGGAAACCCUGAAGCAGCAACGCCGCGUGGAGGAUGAAGGUUUUCGGGUUGUAAACUCCUUUUGUGAGAGAAGAUAAUGACGGUAUGUAAGGAAUAAGUACCGGCUAACUCCGUGCCAGCAGCCGCGGUAAUACGGAGGGUGCAAGCGUUACUCGGAAUCAGUGGGGGUAAAGAGCGCGUAGGCUGGAUAGCAAGUCAGAUGUGAAAUCCUAUGGCUUAACCAUAGAACUGCAUUUGAAACUGGUAUUCUAGAGUGUAGGAAGGGAAGGUGGAAUUCUUGGUGUAGGGGUAAAAUGCGUAGAGAUCAAGAGGAAUACUCAUUGCGAAGGCGA
rnacentral:rRNA from 1 species